rfam:Triticum aestivum genome assembly, contig: Triticum_aestivum_CS42_TGACv1_scaffold_392774_5AS
UGUGUACUCCCUCCGUUCCAAAAUACUUGACUUCCAUUUGUCCAAAAAUGGAUGUACCUAUAUACUAAGACAUGUCAAGAUACAUAUAUAUUUUGACAAAUAGAAGGCAUGUAUUGUGCAACGGAGGGAGUAGAAU